UACGGAGGGGGCAAGCGUUGUUCGGAAUUACUGGGCGUAAAGGGCUCGUAGGUGGCCAAUUAAGUCAGGCGUGAAAUCCCCAGGCUCAACUUGGGAACUGCGUCUGAUACUGGUUGGCUUGAAUUCGGGAGAGGGAUGCAGAAUUCCAGGUGUAGCGGUGAAAUGCGCAGAUAUCAGGAGGAACACCGGUGGCGAAGGCGGGUCUCUGGGCCGAUACUGACGCUGAGGAGCGAAAGCGUGGGGAGCGAACAGG
rnacentral:rRNA from 1 species